rnacentral:lncRNA from 1 species
AAUCUUUGGUUGCCUGCUUCUAAAAGCCUAUUGACUGUCUUAAAGGGCAAAGGGUCAUUUUUCUUCCCCUGAAAUUAUCAUCUUGUGAUUGCACAGCCAACACAGGGAAAAAGAUUGUCAUUCCUCAUCACCUUCAAAAAUCUUCUACCUUCAUGUUAAUAUAGUCCCUUUUCAUUAGCUAGCUUAGAAAAUUGGUAUGUGACCCAAAUACAACAGAGUGGUCUGCUUUUCUUCUGACAUAUUUUUCAUGAUGGGAAUGAAUUUUCCUAGAAUUGAAGUAAAAGAUAAAACUAGAUUGUCAUCCAUAGGGAGAGAAAACCACAUCUGCUUUUUUUUUUUUUUUUAAUAGGAAAUCAUCUUUGUCCAUUCUGCAGAACUUCAGUUUCCUACAGAAGGGAGGUAAAUCUUGGAGUAACUGAAACAAAGGAGCAUGUUUGCCCAGUUAGAGAACACUGGGUAUUGAAUAAGGCUGGGAAUUUCUGUAAAUUGGGGUAGGAGAGAGAUAGAGACCACUCUCUCUCCAGAGGUUAAUGGUGCAGAUGCACACGGUGUGGUAACUCUGGCCCAAGCACCACAGCUGCCUUCCCCAGGAGGAUGGAAACUCCACUCCAACUACCAGGAGAGUAAAGAUCAUUAACAACAGCUGCCUGCUGGUGUUGACUAAAGCAACCCAAGCAUGCCACUGGUAAUUCAUCUCAUUCAGAGACAGAUAGGCAGAACGGCAUAGAGUAAUUCCAACACAGAAAACUUAAUACGUUAUUUAGGUUUCCAAUUAAACGCCUGCUUGUUAAGCAGAGAGACAAGGCCACUUUGUCCUUGUGUGCUUUUGCAAUCUCUGCAGUGCAGCAUGGAUUAUUGAUGUUCCUUCUCAUCUCUGUCAUUUUACCAUCACAUGCUUUCAUUUGUCAGCCUUAUUACACACAAAGUACCUUUUCCAAAUUCCUUAUAUUUUCACAUGUCCCUGAGUUGGUAUAUGGAGAAAUCUAAAGAAAUGGGCCCAUUCUUGGGUGCUUUCAGUGAGAUUAGAAAGAGGGCUGACAUCUGGCCUCCUUGUAAAUCAUUUGCUCAACUAUUUACUCAGUGCCUACUCUGUGUCAGCUAACACACUAGGCACUGAGGCUUCUGCACUAAACAAGACACCUGGAAAAGGCAACAAGUCACUGCCUGUUCUUCAGCCCCUGCUCUAUCUGGAAGUCAUUCAGCAGACUGCCUUUUAUUCAAGCCACUGCCACCUUUGUAAGGUGAAAAACAAGGUUGGUAUAUCAGUUCUGCCACGGGAAGCUGCGCCAGGCACAUAGCCCAGUGAAAUAGCAAGGAAAAGACCUUAGGGCACAAACACUUGGUCACAAGUUCAGCUUUGCUACCAAGGAGCAGCUCUGCUGGGCAAAAAGUCUCUUUAGAGACUGUUCAAAAUGAAAACUUUUAGGAUUGGGCUGGCACAGACACUUUCCAUUUCAGAAAUACCUUCCAGAAAAAGAAAAAGAGGUAUGUAAUAGAUUCCUUCCUCUGUCUUAUAAAACUACUUACAAUGGUGGUAAACAGCUCUGGGAUGUCAAUAACCCCUUGGUGGAAGGGUAGCCUAAUACAGAAUGCUGCAUAUAAUAGGUGCUCAAUAAAUGUAUGCUGGAUUAAUGGGUACAUGACCUAGAAAGACAGGGCACGUGGUGAGCAAUCAUAUUCACAGAGAAGGAGUAAGAGUUUAUCUACACGAAUCUCUUUAAUUGUUCACUUUUUGUGGAGUUUAUUGGUAUAUAUUUUUAAUUUUUAAUUACACAAUAUAUGUUUACUUUAGAACCACUAGAAAAAAACAGAUUAAAAAACAAAAAAACUAACAUUUGUAAUCAUUCCAACAUGAAGAGAUAACACUGCUAACACUUAGAUGGUUACAUUAACAUGAGGAUAAAUUAUUAUUUAUAUGUAUAUAUAUGUAUCUUUAGUGGGUUCCUACUUGAUUUUUGCUUAGCAUUUUAUUGUGAAUCUUAGAGAAUUCCAUUCUUUAAUUAUACUGUAAUUUAACCAAAAUACUAUGAUUAGAUACUUUGGUUGUUUCAGAUGUUUUAUCUGAUAAUAACUUACUAUGUACUUAAUACCUUUGGAAAUAAAUCUUCAUUCAUGCUCAUAAUUAUGUCCUUAAGUUAAAUUAUUAGAAAUGGAAUUACUGAGUCAGAAAGUAAUGCAAUUUUUGAGGCUUUUUAGUGAUAGAUUAACCUCCAGAGAGGUACCAAUUUACAAAUUGACCAAAAGGGUAUAAAAGGACUCUUUUCCCUAACCCGUCAUGAGCUAUUCUAGAUUUUGAUGAAAGCAGCAUCUAUAAUAAAGGUUGUCAUUCUUUCCUUUUACAUGAAGCACACUUUGAUCCCACCUGACCCCAAUUUAUUGCCCUGCAAUGAUACUGGACCAUUUGUUUGCAAAGGGUUUUUUUAAUCAUGUAAUUUACUCUCAAGUUCUUGCAUUAAAGAGGCAUGUGCCUAACAGGUCUUUUCUAAUUUAUUAACUGGUAAAAUAAAAAUACCAGUACUCACUCAACUGUAGGCAAGAAGCUUCAGUUAUUCAUUUACUCAAUAAACAUAUAUUGAGUACUUUCAAUACACCAGGCACUCUUCUGGACUCUAGUAUGAAAACAUUGAACCAGAUAGAUAAAACCUCUAACCACGAAGAGCUUGUAUUUUGAUAGAAAAGAAAGAAAAUUUGCAAAUAGGUAUACCGAUAUGUUAGGCUUUCUGUCCCCACCCAAAUCUCAUUUUGAAUUUUAAUCCCCAUAGUCCUCACAUGUCAAAAGAGAGACCAGGCGGAGGUAAUUAGAUCAUAGGCGUGGUUUCCCCCAUGCUAUUCUUCUAAUAGUGAGUGAGUUCUCAUGAUAUCUGAGGGUUUCAUAAGGGGCUCUUCCCCACUCACGCUGCACUUCUUCCUGCCGUCUUGUAAAGAAGGUGCCUUGCUUCCCCUUCACCUUUUGCCAUGAUUGUAAGUUUCCUGAGGCCUUCCCAGCUAUGCUGAACUGUGAGUCAACUAAAUCUCUUUCCUUUAUAAAUUACCCAGUCUUGGGCAGCUCUUUAUAGUGGUAUGAAAACAGACUAAUACAUAUACAAUAUCAGGUAGCCGUUAGUGCUACUUGGUGUUCUAGAUAGGGUACUCAGAGACCCCCGCUCUGAGGAGACACCUGAACAGAUACUGAGUGAUCAAGCCAUGCUUUCAUCUGAAAGAAGGAAAAGCAAUGUGCAGAGGUCCUAGGAAAGAAGUGAGCAUGGCAUGUUCACAGAACAGCAAGAAUGCCAGUAGUAUUACUGGAGGAAAGUGGAAAGACAGCAAGCAACAAAAUUGAAGAAUGAGCCAAAUCAAGUAGGGUCUGGCAGGCUAUUUAGCAGACUUUGAAUUUUAUUCCAAGUGAUGGGGGACAUUGAAGGGCUUUCAACAGGAAUGCAGUGUGGCCUGAUUUACAUUUUCCAAAGCUCCUUUGGACUGUUACGAGGAGAAAAGCCUCUAGGCCAAGAGUGGAAGUAGGAAGAUGAGUUGGAAAACUCUUGUAAAAGUGUAGGCAUCUAGUUGUUUCAAGCCCUUCAAUCCCGUUUUGGAAGGAGGCAAGAAAUUAAAAGUGAUAUGAAUACUCAUCAUUAAAAGGAGAAUCCCCUGGCUCAGGGACUAAAGGAUGCCUGGUCAUCUCCCUAUCAUCAUUGCCACUAUCUAUCAAAUUGGUUUCCAUGUGUAGAGAAAGUUAUGAGGAUUGCUAAUGCACAAGGGAACUGUGUCGGCCCAGAAAAUGCAUGGCCCGGUAUUGUUAAGCAUGAUCUUUACAAAAAGCCAGAAUCAAUGCAUUUUCCUAAGGAAGAAGUUGAAUAACUGAAUGGUAAUAUAAGGGAACUAUGAGCUGCCCCCUUUCCCUGUGACCCUUGGGUCUGUCUUACCAACCUGGGCUCUAAAAUAAGAACUCAGGUGAAAACAACAAUAUUGCUAACAUGAGAGACUGGUUAUUGAGCUACUUAUAAUCAAAUGCCUAUUAGAAAAUAUUAUGGAAAAACUAGGAGUUUGUUUCUAGUUCUAGAAACCUGUUCACUGAAUAUUAUUUAAACUUUGUUGCAAGGGGGAUAAACGGGAUUAACUUUAUCAUCUUAAAGCUGGUUUGAUUUUUAAAGUACAUAAAAAUGGGACAUAGUAUAUUUCCUUUAAAAUAACACACAAAAAUUAAAAGAACUACUGAAUCCGCAAGGGCAUAUGCUCAGCAAAAGCCUUGGGGAAACCAAAGCAUUUGGGUCUCUGUAUGUAUGCCUUUUUAUUUUUAAGUUUUUCCUUUUAAUUCCCUCUGACAUGGAUGUGUAAUGCUGAGAAUUUAUGCUAAUGAAGAAUGUGUCCACAAGAUGUAUAAUGCAUGCCUUUUAAUUAGUUCUGCUGCUAUAAUUUAUUAACAUUUUGCCUGUGCAGUACUAUUACAAAGAAUCAGCAGUGAAACACUGUAUGCAUCCAGUCCCUGUAGGAACCGAAAAAAAAAAGAAAAAAAAAAGCACUGAACAUUGCCAUUGUAUAACAUCUGCACUGCCAAAGUGAGCCUUUGUAUUCCUAUUGAAAAUCUGUUGGGAGGUGCUUUAAGCAGACUGGAAAGAAGCAGCAGAAAUAAAAAACAAAAUGAAAGGCCAAAAGGCCCAGAGGAACGAAUACAGGAAAUAUUAUAAGGGGAGGGAGAGAGAUCAAGAUAAGCAUGAAGAAUGUGAAAACAACCACGAGUCCAUAGGAAUCUGGGGCAGAUGGAACAGGUGGAAGUAAAAGCUGAGAAAAUAGGAAGUGCAAACUGUACAUACCUGUGUGUGUAGACAUCUGUGUGCAUGCAUGGAUGUAUAUGUGAACAGAUGCACAUAUCAAAUUCUGUGCAGAGUAACGAUCACAUAUAUAGAAACGUAAGACACCAGCAUUAACAUAGAUAUUUGCUGCUUAAGUAAGUUUGUCCAGGGUCAUCUUCAUCUAAUUCAGCAUCUCUAGCAAUCACCUCCUUCCCUCCACCCCCACCCAGGUAAAAGGAAGAGGCAUUCACCAUUCAUUCCUCAGCCACAUUCUCUAGCCACAUACAAAGUGUGUACUAUGUGUCAACCCCGUGCUAGGUAACUGACUUCUAUGACAUGUCUCCUCGUUUCCUUCCACCUUUCUGUGAUAUCCUUAUCAGCCUCCUCUGCAGGUUUAUCCUCUUCCAUUCCUCUAUUAAAUGUGUUUAAGUUCCUCAAGGCUCUAACUUAGCCCUUCUUUGGUCCUUACACUAUGCUCCUCUUUGGAUACUUGUAUCUACUUUAGACAGGUCUGAAGAAGACAUAUUUCCAUGCUUCAAGUUGUAGUGGGGUAGAGGGUAAGCAAACAGGGAGUUCAGGUGUUUUGAGCACAGAAUAGGAGAACAGAUAAAUAUAGAAACCUGACUCAAAGCUUGAGCCAUGCGAGGAAGCAUUUCUGGCAUAAAUGAUUUCUAUCCAGAGACAAUCAUAGGAAAAGUGGAUGGGAAAAAGAUGUUCCAGGCUAAAGGAAUAACCUGUGCAAAGGACUUGAGGAAAGAAGGGUUGGGCAUUUUCAAGAAAUGUGAAUAGUUCAGGAGAGUGGGAAGGGAAACUGUAGGUUGGGAGAUUAGCAAGUGGCAGGAUCAGCAAGCAGAGGCCAGAUCAUGAAGACUUGUCUUGAGGCAAUUGGUUUGAACACUUCUUCCAGACCAUGCAGCACGAUAAAGUACAUGAAUCUCCAAGUGAGGGAGACGGUAGACAGGACUUUUCCCCCAUGCUAUUCUUUUUUAGCUAAGUGUCUAUUCAUAUCUUAGGUAUUUAACUGAAAACCUGUUAGACAUAGUCUAAGAGUUAGUGGCCAAGAUAAAUACAUUUGAACUUGCCCUCUAUUCUCCAUAACCUGCGCCUCAGCCUACCUAUUCUGAUACUGUAAAUGCAUAGUCACCCUCACCCUCCAGCAGUCCUAGUGUUUCUUUUCUUUCUUUUCAUGAUCAUCUCAUUCUUCCAUUCUCCCUAACACUGAUUUCAAAACUUCUCCUCUCCAAUGCCCAGUCUUUCUCCCUAUUUCUCUUCCCUCUCAGCAGAUAACUUGUACUUUACGGAGAAAUUAGGUGCCAUCAAAUGGGAACUCCUCAGUUUCCUGCCACCUCCAUAUUCCCACAUCUACAUUCACUUCCCUGUUAUCACAGUAAAGGAGCUGUGCAGCCACCUACCUGUUUGAAUCCUAUCCUUUCUUAUUUAAUUAAAUUUUCACUAUACAGUAUCCCUUCUCACAAAGUCUCAUUAAAACACCACCACCACCACCCACUACCCCACAUUCCUCCCCAGCAAAUAAUCUCCCUCCUUUUUGUAACAGAAGAAUUUUUCAAAUAAUUUGUCACCAUGUCUCUGUCUCUGUUGCUCACUUCCCAGUCUUUCUUUCACUCACAGUCAUCCACCAAAGCAGCUCUUGCUAAGGAUCACCAAUGUCUCCUGAAUACAAAAUCAAAGGGAGAUUUUUCAGUGCUGCUCUUAUUUUACCUCUCACUAGCAUUUUAUGCUAUUGACAACACCCAUUGCCAGAAAUACUUUCUUCCCUUAGCUUCCAUGACAAGACUCUUCUGGUUUCCUUCUAACUUUCUAUGAUCUUCUUAUCAGCCCUCUUUACAGGUUUAUCCUUUUCCAUUCCAGUAUUAAAUGUUUAAGUUCCCUCAAGGCUCAAACUUAGCCCUUCUUUGAUUCUUAGUCUGUACUCCUUCUUGGGUAAAUAUAUCUAUUUCUAUCUCUUCAGUUACCUUCUGAAAAUCUCUUGAAUUCUAUACGCUCCUCCCCGUCUUCAUUGCCACCAAGCUACCACCUUUUUCUUCUCACACUUUUGCUGCAGCCUCUAAAGUAGUCUUCUGUAUCUUAUUUGGCACCCUUAACAAUGUG